GUCCCCGUAGUUCAACGGAUAGAACAGUCCCGUCCUAAGGGAUAGAUGUCAGUUCAAUUCUGACCGGGGACA
rnacentral:tRNA from 1 species